GGCACAUUUGACCCAAAUCUUAUUGAUAUUUUCGAUAAGGUUCUUAUGGAAUUGCUUGACGCUAAGAUUCCAAAUGAGUUGAAAGAUGAUCUUAUUUAUCUUGUUAUUAGUGAUGAAAUUAGAAGGGCUAUUUUCUCGAUGAAUGGAAAUAAGAGUCUUGGUCUUGAUGGUUACAAUGCUAAGUUUUUUCAAAUUUGUUAGGGAAUUGUAGGAACCGAUGUUAAUAAAGUUGUGAAGUUUUUUUUUUUUUGCACAAGGACUUUGGCGAGUGCUUUC
rnacentral:lncRNA from 1 species